rnacentral:tRNA from 1 species
GCCUGGAUAGCUCUGUCGGUAAAGCAUGAGAUUCUAAAUCUCAGGGUUGUGGGUUUGAGCCCCUCAUUGAGCG